UAUGCACAUUUUAGUUGAUCCUGCAGCUUGGACACUGGCUGGAAUAAGCCCAUGGAAGACUCCUUGGUGAUCUGGUUCCCAGUACGUCUGAUCACAUAUGUACAGACAAUCAGAAUUAGGCCAGGUCGACUGUGAGGAGCAGUGGCUGCUUCAAGUCCACCGCAUUGUUCCAGCUGGAAAAAAAGAGUUUUAUCCACAGUAUUUUCGUUGCCUUAGCAUUGGCAGAAACUGUAGUCCAAUAUUUUCAUUAUAAUUGUUACAUUUUUUUCUAAACUCAUAUGCAUCAUAGAAAAUGAAGUGGAACUGGAAUAAAUGGCAUUGUCAACUCCACAAACCUUAACACAGCAAAAUUAAUGUGAAAGUCAGAGUCAAAUGAGUCCCAGUGGUGUCCUCCACUCUGCUGAGAGCACAUUUCAGAUACUGAAGAACUGGCAACAAGCUCAGACCCAUAGUAUCUUCUAUUGCAACAAUUAAUGGAUAUGAAUAGUUCUCACCGGAGGGAUUCAGGUUACCUUUGUAUCAACUUUAGAGGUUAGACUCCUGAAACAGACAAUGAGGUUAAUGUAUGGUAGUUUAUGAACUGAUUAAUUCUUGCCUUUAAAUUCAAUUAAAUACUAUAGAUCCUUUUAUCUCCCUUGUAACAAUGAUUCUGAGAGUCAUUUGUAUAUUGUAAUAAAAUGCCAACAAGGGGAUCAUAAUUACUGUAAAGUUUAGUGUUAGAAAAAUAUUGUAUAGUAAAUUGCCUGGUAUUCUACUAUAAACAGAGUGGUUAACGUAGUUGCUUUGGACUCGAUUUUUUUUUCCUUUGAAUAUAAUAGUUCAGGCAUCGUGGUCUUCAGUUUCCUACUCCCAUCAAUUAGGUUAGAAUUCAAGGGGAAUUUGUGGUUCAGGUUAGCUUUCUGAAUACUCUUGCUCAAAUGUGCGAUGGAAAAAAAGCAGGAUGCUCAUGACAGCUACCUUGAAAUUUCCAGCAAUACCUGCAGAUAGAACAUAAUUCAGAACUGUAUGACUGUAGGGGAGAUGGGAUGGUAAAUAGAUCUUAGAGACAUAGUACAUAUGCCCAACGUGGGAUAAAUUUCUGUUUUUCUUUCUGACCUACAUUGGGGGUAGAUGGAGUGACGGCAACUGAAUGAAGGCUCUCUGAGAUCAGGCCAAAAUGCCUCGGGGAAACCUGGGAGCUGCAAUCUUUGUCACAUUCCUUACAACAGCUUUAUCUUGAGCCCCUGUUGCCAGAUACCAAAUAAAUAUUCAAGACAAAAUACAGACUUUGGCCUAAAAUAGACAGUGCAUCUACCUCAGCUAGGCCUUCUACCUUGCAUUGGUAUAAAUGCAAUGGUUGUUGGUCUAUUUUGCCUUAAAUCUUUAUUGAUUAAGGGGGGCUACUUUGUUCUGAGUUUCAGUACUGCCACUGUGAAGCAAGCAAAGGUCACAAAUAAAACCCGUAAAAUUAAU